GUAGGGUCCCGUGGGCGAACCCUGGGCUCAGGCCUGCCAGCUCUGCUGCCACCCAGGAACAAGACUGGGCAAGGCACCCUGAGCAAGCUCCAUCUUACCUAAAUUUGUGGAUUAUCAGAGCCGGGUGGGGUUUCAGAAGUCAUCUGUUUCCACCCCCCGAAUCCCUCUCCCCUGCUACUCCCUUUAAGGUCAGAAGUGAAAACCAAGGCCCACAAGCUAAAGAAAUACUGCCAGUAAAUUAGGGCAAACCUGGGAGCUGAGAGCCAUCACAUGACUUCCCUGAGCUUACACCCAGGCUGGCCACGGCCAGCUUGUCCACUCGACAAGGUCUAGUUUAGUUUAGUGGGGUUCCACCCUGAGGGCUUUCAGCCCCGGAAGUGGGACCCUGGCAUGGAGGCGAGAGAAACAAGCUGACCUGCGUGGCCUGGGCUCCUUUCUUCAACUCACCUGCCUCCCACCCUCUGUAGGGCCUGCACAGCACUCGAGAAUGUUCUCAGGAGGCAGGGGAACCACUAGAAGAGACCUCUCAGCUUGGCUUCUAGCUGAAGGGCUGCCCUCCUCUGGGAUCUUUCACCACGAGAAAGAGGGACUUGGAUGGAUGGGACUGGUCAGGGUCAGAUGCCCAAGGCUGCUGGUUCCAAGGCCAGGCUUCACACACUGGUUCUGUGUGUCUGUCCCCCAGGGUUCCUACAUUGACUCCUUCAUUCUUCUCUGAUUCCCUGAGAAGAACCACACUUUACAAGCCUGCAAGGUCAUGGUUGGGGUCACGAUGAAUUAUGACUAAUGGUGGCAAUAAAAGUAGCCCCACAGGCCCCAGGAGUGACCAGAUGGCCUUCCCUGCCCUGGGUCAGCUGCCUUGGUACUAUCUUGGGAUGAGCCAGAUGGUGUGGGACACACUUGUUCCUCCAAAGCAGAGCCCACCACCCCCUUCUUUAAAGCCCCCAGGGGGCAGAGUCCAUCUACAGAGGUCUCCUCAUUCCAGGGUCUCUUGGAAUAUACCCUUGGAGCCGGUUUAGAAGCCACUCAAGAAAAUUCAUUCCUUUCGAUUCCAUGACCACAUUUCUGCCACAAAAUGGAACUCCCCAGCUCCCGGAGACCUGUGGCUGUUUGAGUAGGUACCAAUAGAGUAGAAGCUAGGAGGGUACCAGGUACCUCUAGAAAUAAGGUGGUGGAUGGCUCUCAAUAGUGACACUGUGAGUGGUAUUCCAGGCCCUUGUUCCAGGUCCUUCGCAUCCAUUGCCUUCUUUGUCCUCUGACCCUUCAAAGCAUUAGGAGAGGCCACUGCUGCAGAGAGGGAGUCAAAGGGAGGGGUCAGGGCUCUGCUGGCAAUUCCUGAGAAGGUCAAGAUCAUUUGAGGAAGGCAGCGUCCCCCACCUCCCCAGGGGAAAUUUUGAAUGACAUGGUUCAUGCGGGUGCGUGAGUUCAAGUAGGUUCUUGGAGGGGUUUUCCCUUGGAGUUAUUUUAUAUCCCAGCUGGAGCCUGGUGUCAUGCCAUGCCUGGGAACACGAGGACUGGGGCAGGGGUCACUGACAGGCCAGACCGCCCUGAGGGGAGACGCAGUUCACCUGGAAGUGUGUGCACACCCCCACAUGCACACAGCCGGUGACUUAGCUGACCUGACCCUGCUUAUCCUGUCCCAGCGGUCACUCCCAGGACUCAGCGCAGGCCCGGGCCGGGGUAGACGCCUCACCCCAACUCCAUGCCGUGGUGCUCGGCCUGUGCUGGCCAGUGGGUUGUGCAACCCAGCCAUCUCCCCACUUGCCACCUGCGCCAACAGCCCAGG
ensembl:lncRNA